UGGGGUGUCGCCAAGCGGUAAGGCAUGGGACUCUGACUCCCACAUUCCUAGGUUCGAAUCCUAGCACCCCAGCCA
rnacentral:tRNA from 1 species